ensembl:lincRNA
AUGAACAUCCGGAUGCCCGAGACCUGUAUUACUCAACCAAGCUGUAAUGCAUACAUGAAUCUGGUACUCAAUGGUCUUCACCCUCAGAUAGAGGAUGGAGUGGUGACCAGAGAGGUCUGUGCCACUUUUUACUUUAGCGGCUGCUGUGAGCAAAAGACAAACCCCAUCAGAGUGAAAGCGUGUCCAGGAAAUUAUUAUGUCUAUGAACUUAUAAAACCAGAUGACCGGUGUUCAGGAUACUGCACAGAUAUCAGCACUAUUUCACAGGUGACUUUGACUGUAAGUCCACAAACAAUCACUGGAUCCAGCAUCGUAUUAAAUUAUGACCCGUGCAGCAACUACAACACACUAGACAAUGACUGGAGAAGCACAGCCAAUACCUAUUUUAUGCAUGGCUAUGUAAAUGCACAUGAUGACACUCUUGUAGAAUGGGACGGCUGGUACAGACUCUUCAUUAAUGGAUCGAGUGCUCAGAUGCUUGAAUGGUGUGCCUCCUACAUGGACUGUGGAGGGUUUAGUUCUCUGUGGCUUCAUGGAUCUCAUCCUCAGCUAGAAGAUGGAGUUGUUACUCGUGAAGUUUACGGCUCCCAUAAUUAUCAGUGCAGUCACUACAGAUCUGACCCAAUCCAAGUUAAAGCUUGUCCUGGAGAUUAUUAUGUCUACAAGUUUACCAAACCAACAGUUUCCAUCCCAGCUCCUGUAUAUUGUGCAGUAUCUUACACCACCCCAAGUGUCGACCCCUGCUACAACUACACCAGCCUGAAUGAACCGUGGAGAUUAACUGAUACCUCUUACUAUUACAAUCACUAUAAUGCCAUGUGUGAUUAUAAUGUGGAGUGGAAUGGCUGGUACAGGCUGUUUUACAACAAUCAGAGUGCUCAGAUGCCAGAAUCAUGUGUGAAUCAGUACAUGUGUGGCUCUUAUAACCCACUGUGGCUCAAUGGAUCUCACCCUCAGCUGGAAGAUGGAGUAGUCCUCCGUCAUGUUUGUGCUUCAGGAUGGAGCGGCUGCUGUGCUUACACCUCCCAGGCUAUAAGAGUCAAAGCCUGUCCUGGAGAUUACUAUGUGUAUGAGUUUGUUAAGCCAAUACUCUGCGCAGCUUACUGUGUAGAGGUGGCAAAUCAGAUCACAACAACAGCGUCCAUUCCACUCAUUGAAUCCAUUACUCCACCAACCACAACCACAGCUCCCCCUGUUGACCCCUGCUACAACUACAACGUCCUGGAUGAGUCAUGGAGAGCCACCAGCAAUCAAAACUCCUCUCAGUUAAUGUGUGACAGUGCGGUGAGCUGGAGCGGCUGGUACCGUCUCUUCAUUAAUGGUCAGAGUGUUCAGAUGCCAGACACAUGUGUUGAUGAGAAUAGCUGCGGCACUAAUGCUCCACUGUGGCUGAGCGGAGGACAUCCAACACUUGAGGAUGGAGUGGUCACUAGAGAUGUCUGCGGACACUGGAGCAACAACUGCUGCUAUUUCCAGUCCAAUCCCAUUCAAGUCAAAGCCUGUCCUGGAGGUUUUUAUGUCUAUGAGUUUGUGAGGCCAAAUGGCUGCAAUUUAGCAUACUGUGCAGAUGUGAGGUUUAACACUAGCUAUACAACUGACACACCAGAGACGACCACAACAGAAACUGCAGCUGAAAGCACAACUAUGACAACUGGUAAUGUAAUAUGCUGUAUCACAAUCUGCAGGAUUAUUGCUCAGAUUAAAGUGUUAUAAGUGCCAGAAUCUAAAUCUAUCUGAAAUAAAAGUACAAAACCUGUCACUGAGGAAUUUCCUUUUCAAAAGGUCCACAUUUGUACCUAAAAGAUACAAACAAUUGCAAAUGCACACCUUAUUACCUUAGGGUGCUUUCAUACUUAGACUUCUGUUUUGGAACCUGUCUCAUUUGCCCAGUUAGCGCAGUUCGUUUGGCAUAAGUGAAUCCACCAAUCGCUCUCUGAUCCGCUCCAAAACAAUCGCUCCGAGAUCGCUUGAAUGAGGUGGUCUCGGCUUGAUUGAAAUAAACUCCUGAGCAGAUCGAUUGUAGUGGGAAAACGAUAUGAGCCCGGUUAUAUCACAGUGUUUUAUGGAUAUGUAAUAUGCAUACAGCUAUAUGAGUAGGGCGGGAGGUCCUUCAACAGACAUCCCGAGUCUUCCGCAAAUGCACAGAGACUCCCAGAUGCCCGCAAAUGAGUGAUAAUCUCCCGGUAAUCACGCCUCCUUAUCAGUCCUCAAACACUCUUCUCACCCCUCCCGACCGCAUCCCUCCUCGCUCUUCAGAUACGUCAUGCGCACCCUGUCAAACACCACCAAACCUCCCCUGACAGCUGAGCGGGACUCUGCAAAAUAAACCAUGAAACUCUGACCAAGGUGAGGAGAGUUUACUUACACACGUGACUUGUUUUAGCUCUUUUGGUCCAUUAAGAAACUUUGCAGUGUGAAAGCGAACCGCACCAAGAACAAAGAGCAACACUGUAACAAUUUUAAUCCCUGUUUCGGAACAAAUGAAUCGAUUCACAGGUGUGAAACCACCCUAAAAUGCACAAAAGUGUACCCUAAAGGUGCACAAACUGUAGCUUUAUGGAACAAAUAUUCAAUUCAAUUAUUUUUAUUUCUAAAGCGCUUUUUACAAUGUAAAUUAUGUUAAAGCAGCUUAACAAAUGCACCUGUAAGAUACACAAGUCUAGCUUUUGAAAAGGUACCACCCCAGUGACGAGAUUUGUACACUUUUUUUGAGAUUGUAGGGAGGACAUAUACAUCUGCAAAUAUACAGUAUAUAUUAUAUAUUUCUUAAAAUAUAUAAUUAUUAUAUUCAUUUAUUUAAGACUGUUUUAAUAAAAAUCCGAUCUAAUGGUAUGUUAGAAAACUUGUAAUAAUGUAUAUUAAUAAUAUUGUCCUUCUAGAUGACAGAAACCCCUGUUCUGAACUCAACUGCUCCAAAGAGGAAAGGUGUGGGAUGAAAAAUGGUGUUUAUGGCUGUUUAUGUAACAAAGGCCACCAAAAGCACCGAGCAGCUCAAGACUCCUUUGGUUAGUGUGUGAUUCUACAGUCAAAUGUGAAAUAAAAGGUGUUUUUGUGUCAUUAAUGAUCAUGUUUUUCUCUCAGAUUUCAAUGAGACCUGUGAGAGCAGCUCUGUCUCCAUGUCUGUGUCUCGCUGUCAGCUUUUUGAAGCUGGUUUUUCAGCUGAGCACUUACACCUCAAUGACCCCAGCUGCAGAGGAACCGUCCAGAACGGCAGAGUGGAGUUUAACUUCGACAACGAUCAACACAUCUGUGGCACAAACCUUGUGGUACGAUCAACUACCUGUGUGUUAAAUCUGAAUUUUUUCACACGUGUGUGUGUUGAAUGCUUGCUUCUGAUUGGCUGAUCAUAAGGUAUGCCAUUAUUUUCAGACAUACACACCACCACUAAAGUAGCCAUAGCAGGUUUUGACAGCAUUAUAGCUCCAUUUCACUGUGCUAAAUGAUUUAGGUUAUCACAAUAAAAUCACACCAAACAAACACAGCUAAAAUGUGUAGUCUUACAGACAGAAGCUGUUUUAGGACAAAAUCCUGACAAAUGUCUGAAAUACAACAUAUAAAUUGUGCAAAUCCAUAUAUGCAUAAUAAUUGACUGUGGUCCCUUAAAUUAUUAAAAAAAUAAAGCACAUCUGCUUCGUCUGCAUUGCAAACCUGGUUGUGAAUUGUUUUCUAAGAAUUCAACUGAGUCAUCAUUCAAGGCAUCAAUUCUUCUACACAUACUGUAUACCUGUCUGAAUAUUUAUAGACCAUUUCAAUGUGGUGAUGUCGUUGACCCAUUUCCUGCUUGUUAUCAAAAUAUUUCAUAAUAUAACAAGAGACAGUUCAAUCAUAAAUUAAUGUUACAACAGCUAUCGUAAUAUUAUUUAUCAAUAUGUGGCUCUUUUUGGAUUCUCGGAAGCUGUUGACUUUAAAAAAGUAAAACAGGAAAUACGUUAAGACCAUUGUUUUUGUUUACAUUCCUCAAAAUGGUCUAAAGCAACAGAAAGAACCAACAUAGUCUCAUAUUCGCUUGUUAAGUGUGGUCUCCAAGUCCAAGCGCUAUAUCAAACUGUAUGGAGAGACUCAUCAAAUGGUAAUAAUAAACAACUACUAAGCGA